rnacentral:rRNA from 1 species
GACGAACGCUGGCGGCGUGCUUAACACAUGCAAGUCGAACGGAAAGGCCCUGCUUUUUUUGGUUGCUCGAGUGGCGAACGGGUGAGUAACACGUGAGUAACCUGCCCUUCACUUUUGUAUAACUUCAGGAAACUGGGGCUAAUACCGGAUGGGAUCUCCUGCUGCAUGGUGGUGGUUGGAAAGUUUCGGCGGUUGGGUAUGUACUCGCGGCUUAUCAGCUUUUUGGUGGGGUAGUGGCUUACCUGGGCUUUGACGGGUAGACGGCCUGACAGGGUUACCGGCAAGACUGGGACUGAGAUGCGGCGCAGAAGCCUGCGGGAGGGAGCAGUGGGGAAAAUUGUGCAAUGGGCGGGCGGCUGAUGCAGCAAAGCCGCGCGCGUGAUGAAGGUCUUCGGGUUGUGAACCGCGUUCGCCUGUGACGAAGCGGGAGUGACGGUAAUGGGUAAAGAAGCACCGGCUAACUACGUG